GGACGUGCGCCCAGCCUUCCCCACACCUGCUGCUGAGCUUGGGCGAGCGCCAGCGGCGGCCGGGCAGACCCCGCCCCCUGUGGCGGAGGAGGAGACAGUCACGGGGGUCGCAGCGGCUGAGGCCGGUCGCCGUCCUGCCACUGCGGGGUCCGAGCUGAGCAGCAGCCCCCGGAGAGCCGCUGUCCCUGGGGAGCGAGAUCGUCUGCAGAAUGCAAGGAAGCUUUGCGCCGGACGAGCGCUCCGUGAGUGACCGCAGCCUUUCAAAGCGGCGCAGCGCGCACGAGCCGACGGGGUGCGGGCGGCAUCGUAACCCCGCGUUCCCUGGAGCACACCGGCAAGGAGCGGCGGGAAGGACAGCCUGCGCGGCGCCUAGAGAAACUUUCCUUGCCAAAGGCCCCUGGAGGCAUGGGUGUUCCCCACUUGUCUGCAAGCUGUUGUGGCCCGGAAACUUCUGCCCGCAGCCCCUGAUAGCAGGCGCUGCAAUUCCUAAGGGGCUGCAUUCUGGUCAGGGAUCAGCAUUCACUUCUGCCACCUUGUGACAGUGGACCAAGGACAGAGGAACUCAGAGAGGAACUUACAGCUGCUGCAUCAUCCUCCUGCACUCCUGGCUGGAAACCUUUCAUUGGCCAAUUCAUCCAGGAGAAGGUACAGAAGUGUACUCCUCUACAUCCACAUUGGAAAAAGCCGACUAAAAUUCAUACAAUAUUUGAUGAUCGUACUUCAAGAUAUUGGACCCUCUUGGCCAACAACGAAAAGUUAGUAUUGAUAAUUUGAAGUCCACUGCUCAUUACAGAAAAAUAUACAUCAGUCUUCAACCUUCAGGAUUGGAUGAUUUGGAAUACAGCAAAAGAUAUGAAAUUAUUAAUAGGAAAUAUCCCAAUAUAGAUCUAGAGGAUCCAGAUGGGAAAAUGAAGACAUCUUGAAACCCACUGCACAAGUGAAGUUUAGAUAUUUUUUGUUUACCUUGUGUGCCACUUCUACAUGAAUACUUUGUUCCCGUUUGAUCUAAUAGUUAUUGGACUUGUCCUAUGGUAUAUACUAUCAGCAGUCUUUAGAUUGCAAUGGAAAAAUGCUAUGCAUCAUCCUCGCCCAAUAAUCUUUUGGAAUUUAACUAGUGUCACACCCAUGACUGAUAUUCCAGUUGCUUUCCCACAAUAUUGGGAAGGACGAGCCAUCCAUCCUGCACCUGGGAAUGUUCAUUUAGAAAUACACAGCCCUCAACAAGGUAUGUUUGGGGAACCAUUCCCUAAACCUAUCAUUCACAAGAAAGGAACUUUGGGUAUUUUACAAAUCCUCUUAAUAGAUACCUCUAGUGUAGCACAAGAUAAUCAGAUAUAUACCACUCCAGGACAAAAAAAUCUUGAUUCAGUAAUUGAUGACGAAUUUACCCAAUUGCAAGAAAUUGUCUUACCUUUUACUUUACCUCUAGAUCAGCCAUACACUCAGGAACAAUAUCAACAGAAAAGGUGUUUUUAAGAAUUUGUGCAUUGUUGUUUAGUAGAUUAUGGCUCAGAAACAACUUGGCCACCUCCUGAAAUUAUCCAAGAACAUUGCCUUAUACUUCCAUCUAGUGGCAUCUCUGAUACCUCUAGACUUAAUGCCUGGAAGUAUUACAUUCAACCACAGUAGGGAGACCAAGAAAUUGGACUAUUGCUGAUCAAAAUUAUGCCUGUACUGGUGCAUAUAGUAAGACUGACGGCAAUGCCGCAUGUAAACAGGCUAUCUUAUGUUUCACCUAUAUGUAUGAUUUUUAGUAGCAGACUGCUAGAACUAUAGUUGAACUAGAAUGAGUUUUAAAUAAAAAUUAUUUCCAAUGAUUAAAAAUAAUAUAACUGGCUUAUUGAAGGAUUAUGCCCUGCCUUCAGAGUGGAAAAAGAAGAAAAGAGAGGGACAAGGAAAUACUGCUGUUUUACACAUCUUCAUAAAACCUUAGUACAAGGCCUUGAUAAAGAAGAAUGUAAGAGGAAGCUUCAAUCGGCUCUGUUAACUCUGUACACUCCUCAUACUGUUAGGUGCCUAAUAUAUCAUCUUGUUAGUACCUUUAUUGUAACUAAGACUAACAAACUUAGUCUGAAAUAUAUACAUAAAAUAUGUGAAGAAGAGUUCCUGGAUAGAAAACACCUGUUUAAUGAUAUUGAUCCAAAAUCUGCGUGCUUCCUUCCAGUAAAAAUGGAAUAUAACACCCAGGUUACUAUUCAAGAGUUAUAGAGAUAUUUAAUAAAUUGUCAUGAUGUAUGCAUUGCCUUGCCAUCACCCAUUCCUUCUAGUAAGAGCUCUAGAAGAUGCGGGGACAUCCAACCAGCCUCAGGGCUUUGCAAAUAAGCACAACUGGCACCUGAUAUUGAGCCCUUCUGUCCCGGCAACAACUGUUUCCACUGCCGAGCAAGCUGCCACAUCUACUAAACAUCCUUAUCUGCCAGAACACCUAUGCAGCCAGACAGGAGAUACUGUACUCAUCACCAUGGAGGAAAUCUUCCAGGACAAUGACCUCAACAGCCUUCAACUCUCUGGGGCUUGGGGAUGUGACAAUGACUAUGACCCCCACAUGGGACUUUAAUUUUUCUUUACUGUAAAAACACCACUUGGUGUAGUGGUAAGUUUAAAUCUAAAUGUAAACGUAAACAUGUUUUACUGUAUACUAUAAUUACUGGUUUGGGAACCCCCUGAGAAGGAGGACAAAGCAAUUAUAUGGGGUAUUGGGAUUUUCAUCACCCUGAAUUAGGUAAACCAGUAACAGAAUACUGUAGAUAUCUUUUAGCUUUAAUCCAGGUAUAAGAACUCUUCUGUCUGAACAUAUGGACAAAGCAGUCUCUAUCUUAUAUAAAUGGGCUACUAACCCUAAUCAAAUACAUCCUACUCAUGGGUAUAGAAAGUUUCUGAAAGGGCAAGAAUUCCAGAAGGCAAUGUUGAUUAGUCCUUGUGGAAUGUGCAUUGGAGAACAAGGAGAUCCAGAUGUUGAUCAAAUUAAAGAUGGAAUAGAUUGUGUAGAAAAAAUAGAGAGGAGUCAGCGGGAGAGGGUGUUGCAGGAUAAUAUCUCUACUGAGGAUCUGAAAAUGAGGACACUGACUCCUUCUCUCUAUGUGAGGAUCAGAUAGCUGUGCAGCCUUGCUGCUCUCACAUACCACAUGAUUAUUUCUAUUCUGACAGUGAAGAACCAGUUACUCCUUCUGAGAUAGAGGCCUGUUUAACAGAAUUUUACCUAUUUAACAGAAUAUUUAACAGAAUAUUGAAGUACAAUUUCCAAAUGAUAGAAAGUGGAAAGGCCUUACUUGGACAGAUGAUUCAUAUCCUUCGAGUCCUAUAUUAAAAGAUUGUACAGAGGGAGAGGCUAAACAGGCCUAAGUAGAAAAGGAAGAAGUAAGGGACAUAAUAUGAUGUAAUGACCAGACUAAUGAAAAAGGAAUGAAAAAGGAAAAUUAUACUAAUAAGUCAGACAAAAAUGAAAGUAAUCUCUCUUCUAAUUUUUAGUUUUUAUGUAAGUUAAAGGUGUGUUAUAUCGCUCUUACAGAAGUCACAGCUUAAUUAGUAGAAAUAUUUUUAGUAAAGUUUUGCAAACAUUCAAGGUUAAGUUUGAAUCUCUGAUAAUGCUGUGAAUACCGUCCUUUGUUUUUGACUCACCGUAGUUCACCACCUGUGGUUCCAACAUAAAAAUAGAAUAUAGUUUAAUUGAAUGCAUUCUAAAUCAAAGUCUCUAUAAAUACCCUGUAACUUAGACUGGGGGAGCUCUCUGAUCUCAUAUGCAGCUGUGUCUGGAGGAGGCAGGAGUUGCCAUGCUUAGUAACCUAUCAAUUUAUUUUUACAUUGUAAACUUGUUCCUUUAACCCUAUGUGCUCCUUUAGCAGGUAUGUGUUGAAUUGAAUUCUUGUCUUGAGUGUUCUUUGCUUCUAAACUUUUGUCUGUCCCUAUACUCUUUUUUGAGUGGGAGGUUGCUUCAAUGAAGUCCGAACAGACUGAAUCACAACCUGAUAAGGUUCAGGCCUUUUUUAAUGGAAAUCACGGGUUUGAGGUGUAGAGAGACGAACCCAUGACAUUCCUGAUGGCCAUAGUGAAAGUCAGGCUUGCAGGACGGUCCUGAUGGACAGGCGGCCACUCCUCACCUCUCUCAUUGACGCUCCGGUCCACACAAUCAUGUCAGAUGGUCUAAUGGGCAUUUUUUUUCCCCCACCAGAAUGUGUGUGCCUAGAAGUCCUCCUCACACUGACACCGUACACAGAGACUCCCCUGGGAACCCGUCACGGUGCUGGGGCCCCUCAGAGCCAGACAGCCUGAAAGAUACACCACAAGGCCGGCUCCUCACCACACGGGAAAUGACCUGAUUCCAAGGUGCUGGGAGUCCCUUGGAGGACAAAGAUGGCAUGUGGAGUCUCUGCCCAACCCCAACGGGAGAGUCAUAGUACAGACACCAAGGAUCCUGGAGCCAGGACAUGCCAUCUUCAAUAGAGAACCACUCACCAUUCAGAAGGAAUGCCCAAAAUGCUGCUAUGCCUAAAUAAACACUAAAUGCCCAACUAACCUUAUAAUAUGGUGUCUAUGACAAUACCCAGCUCACAAUAGGUAGCUCUGGUCACACAGUCGCUCGAUGCAUUGUGCUCACGUGAUGGUCCUGUAGGGAGCUCCCCACAAUCAGCUGACAGAGGAGGAAGAAAAUCUGAUCUUGUUCACAAAUGGGUGAGCUUGGAACAAUAUGAUUUCCUUUGUGCAAGAUUCAAAAAUAACCAUGCACCUGCUUCUGAACCAUAAAAGCAAGCAACGGAGUGGGAACCACAAUUGAGACAUUGAUUAACUCUGGAUGUAGGGGAAGGAGGGAUAUGAGAUCAGGAAGAGGCACAUAGGGGCUGCAGAAUUAUUAAUAAUCUAUUUCUUAGGCUGUGUGGUGGGUACACAGAUGUUUAUUUUUAGUCCUUAAACUGUACAUAUACAUUACAUGUAUGCUUUUGUGUAUGUGAUGUAUUUCAAGAGAGCAAAAGGUUUUUUUUAAAAAUUGUUUUUUAAGUAUCUGGCAAUAAAAUGGAAAGACACGUAAGGUUCAGGGUCAGAAGGCUCUUCUCACAUGGCUGGAGGGGCUGUGCCUCUGGACAGGGUA